GCAGGUUUGUAGUCUCUUUCUUGCACUUGUUGGCCACUGCCCACACUACAGGGGCCAGCUCACUGAGCAUGACUGCGGGCUGGCUGGUGAAGGUGAUCUUUGAUCUUGCCACUAGCUGUGUUGCCAGAUGCAAUUAUAAGAAAUCCAGUCCUGCACUUAAGAACCACAUGAUGGUCUAUGCUGUCAUACAGUGCAGGUUUUUC